rnacentral:misc_RNA from 1 species
CAUGUCUUCAUCAGAUCUAUCAUCUCCAAUGCACAGCACAAAAUCAGCCUGUUUCCCGAUGUCAACCAUUGAUUUAAAAAUGUUUUCUGCAACCAGGCCUUUGCUGACUCCCUGAGGCUUGACUUCCACAAUAAAUUGACCACUCUUUACAGCAACAGGUUCAUUUGCUAAAACACUCUCCAGAUGAUCCAACAUCUCUUUUGCCUGCGCUGAUCCAAAAGUCAGGUCUGCAUCCCGAUAUUGCCAUACUAAAGCACUUUCCUUGGUUUCAAUGGAAGAACCAUCAGUAGCCUCAGUAUACAAUUUCAUUACAGGCUCAGCAAUCUGCCUCCAUCCAUAUUCAGAGCUUGGGCCAUAGGUUUUCCAGUCUUCACCCUGUGACCGCCUCAGAAAGUACCCAUGUUCUGCUGCAAUUCCAAGUUUCCUACAGGUAGAAAACCACUUGCUUAAGCUGUCUCUACUUCGUCCACUGACAAUGAAAACUGUAUUUUUCAGAUCCCCACAGAGUCUAUUCAGGAUUGAGAUAACAUCCUGACCUGGAGACUUACUGAUGGAGUUUUGGGACAUCAGAGUGCCAUCGUAAUCCAACAUUAUUGCCCUACUCUUAGCCCUUUCAGUAGCUAUCAUUGUUUCAGCUUACAAAAGGGCUAAGAGUAGGGC